GAAGACCUUUAGCUCAGUGGUAGAGCAUCUGCUUUGCAUGAAGAAGGUCUCAGGUUCAGUUCCUGACAUCUUCA